rnacentral:rRNA from 1 species
UACGGGAGGCAGCAGUGGGGAAUAUUGCACAAUGGGCGCAAGCCUGAUGCAGCCAUGCCGCGUGUAUGAAAAAGGCCUUCGGGUUGUAAAGUACUUUCAGUCGUGAGGAAGGUGUUAAGGUUAAUAACCUUAGCAAUUGACGUUAGCGACAGAAGAAGCACCGGCUAACUCCGUGCCAGCAGCCGCGGUAAUACGGAGGGUGCGAGCGUUAAUCGGAAUUACUGGGCGUAAAGGGCACGCAGGCGGUUAAUUAAGUUUGGAUGUGAAAUCCCCCGGGGCUUAACCUGGGAAUGGCAUUCAAGACUGGUUAGCUAGAGUCUUGUAGAGGGGGUAGAAUUCCAUGUGUAGCGGUGAAAUGCGUAGAGAUGUGGAGGAAUACCGGUGGCGAAGGCGGCCCCUGGACAAAGACUGACGCUCAUGUGCGAAAGCGUGGGGAGCAAACAGGGAUUAGAUACC